UACAUGUUUAGGAAGAACUUGCCCAAGAA
rnacentral:sRNA from 1 species